AUACGUAGGUGGCAAGCGUUGUCCGGAAUUACUGGGCGUAAAGGAUGCGUAGGCGGAUAUGUAAGUCAGAUGUGAAAUACCCGGGCUCAACUUGGGUGCUGCAUUUGAAACUGCAUGUCUAGAGUGCGGGAGAGGAAAGUGGAAUUCCUAGUGUAGCGGUGAAAUGCGUAGAGAUUAGGAAGAACACCAGUGGCGAAGGCGGCUUUCUGGACCGUAACUGGCGCUGAGGCAUGAAAGCGUGGGUAGC
rnacentral:rRNA from 1 species